ensembl:lncRNA
CUUCUACUUCAACAACUGUUGCUCCCACGACCACAACUGCAGCAGCUCCUAUAACAACAACUGUAGAUGCUUCCAGAAACACAACAUCAGCACCUACUACGUCAAUCACAACUGCAGGACCUACUAACAUUUUAACUCCAAUGACAAGCACAACUGAGGCUCCUUCAGACGUCACUACUGUUGCUCCUUUGAACCCCACAAUUGCAGCUUCUUCUUCAACAACUGUAGCUCCCACGAUCACUACAACUGCAGAAGCUCCUACGACAACAACUGUAGCUGCUUCUACAUUUACUACUGCAUCCCCUACUGCAACCACAACAGAAGCUCCUUCUACAACAACUGUAGCACCAAUGACUUUAGGAACAACAGUCCCAACGACAACUGCAGCUAAUUCCUCAACUUUAGCUCCUUCAAUGCCAAUCCCAACUGCAGCUCCUAUAACAACAACUCUUGCUCCUACAACCUCUACAACUUCCGCACCCACUAGUUUAUUCACAACUGCAGGUCCUACUACCAUUUUACCUCCUUCGACAACCACUACAACAUCCACUACAACAACUGUAGCUCCUACAAUGUCAAUCUCAGCUGCAGGUCCUACUACCAAUUUAACUCCAACGACAACCUCAACUGAAGCUCCAACAGACAUCACAACUGUAGCACCUAUGCACCCCACAAUUGC